rnacentral:rRNA from 1 species
UACGUAGGGUGCGAGCGUUAAUCGGAAUUACUGGGCGUAAAGCGUGCGCAGGCGGUUUUGUAAGCCAGAUGUGAAAUCCCCGGGCUUAACCUGGGAAUGGCAUUUGGGACUGCAAGGCUUGAGUGCGGCAGAGGAGACUGGAAUUCCUGGUGUAGCAGUGAAAUGCGCAGAUAUCAGGAGGAACACCGGUGGCGAAGGCAGCCCCCUGGGUCAAGAUUGACGCUCAUGCACGAAAGCGUGGGGAGCAAACAGG